UACAACUCAAUGCCAUUAGCAUU
rnacentral:siRNA from 1 species